GCCUCGGUGGUGUAGUGGUCAAGACGCUCGCCUGGUAAACAGGAGGGCGUGAGUUCAAUCCCAGCCGAGGUA
rfam:Asian citrus Psyllid, Diaphorina citri - Florida Strain, whole genome shotgun sequence.